CAAACGCAGACAGGCAACAUGUGGCGUUUCAAGAAGAGGACAGCCUUGGAGAGGCCUUGUCAUUCCAACAUCUGCUGCAGUGACAGGGGAACUGCUGGUGGAGCUGCUCUAAAGGCCCCUCAAGACCGGUCCAGGCGGUCAAAAAAAAAGCUCUGUAUUCAGGCCUUCUGGGAUGCCAGACAGCCAUGAGGCACGCACGCACUCACACGCGGUGCCUCUCAGCAUAUCCUCAGUGUCCCUUUGAACCUGCGCAGAUGUGCCAGCGGUUGACAUGCCAGCAGCUUCACAAUCCAGGAAAUGCAGAACUUCAUGUGACUGGACAAGGAAAACAGCGCCAGGUGAGCGGCAGAGAAGCACGGGAUCGAGACCCCCUCGAGUGGAGCCGCAUGCAUAGUGAGGGCGGGGGACCAACAGGAGCCCUAAUUGACGGCCCUUUAAAAUUCCCACAGAGGAGCCGCGCUGCGCUUCAUGCGGAGGCCGCGCCGUUCCAGAAGAGUGACGAAUGACAAGGAGUGUGGAGCAGAUAAGUCCACUAAUGCUGUGCCUCUCCCCCACCAAGCAAGCAAGUAAGCAAGCAAGCAACCCACACACACACACACA